rnacentral:rRNA from 1 species
UUUGACCUCAAAUCAGGUAGGACUACCCGUC